UCUAGAUAAAAAAAGGUACAUGAUAUCCAAUAAAGUUUGGGUCUUCCUGAUGAGAAGUAUUUUAUUUGAGUGUAUUAUUACGACAAUCCGUUUGAGUAAGACCGAAGAGCAUAUGUUUUGAUGCACAUUAUGUUCUUGAGUUAGAUAAAUCAAUUGUUCCCCUUUUUCUCCGGAUCAAGAAUUUUGGCUCUCGUUUGAAAGAAAGGACCUUUUCUUUUUUCUUGUGGCCAUCCAAAACAGAGGAUUAAAGUUAUAGGCUUUUACGUGGCAGCUAUAGUGCUAAAAAUUCGCAUCAAGAUGGGCUACAAUGAUUAGCUGAAGGGUGCUGAAGUAGUUGAUGAUCAUGAAUCGCUUGUUAGGAGAAUUGUGCUCCUUUGAACAUGCAAAGUUAGCCCAAAUUAUGGUGCGCAACAAAGAGACAUUCACAUUAUGGAUGAUAGUGGGAUGUGAAAAGUGAAGCAACAAAGCCAAUUUGCGUUUUACAAAGUCUUGGUCUUCCUGGAAUUGAUUAAAGUUUCUUUCCAGUUGGUACUUUUUCUUAAAGUGCUUCGCUUUUGCUUCACAUGUCACGCGUAGAAAUUCUCCACUUUUGCUUCACUUUCCAGACAAAAGAGCACAUGACAUCCAAUAAUGUCUCUGGAAAUAUUCUCUAAAUAUUAGGAAACAAGUACUUGUGGACAAAAAGUAUUUUAAAAUGAUUUCUCUAGCCA